rnacentral:rRNA from 1 species
AGUGAACGCUGGCGGUAGGCCUAACACGUGCAAGUCGAACGGCAGCACAGUAAGAGCUUGCUCUUACGGGUGGCGAGUGGCGGACGGGUGAGGAAUACAUCGGAAUCUACUUUUUCGUGGGGGAUAACGUAGGGAAACUUACGCUAAUACCGCAUACGACCUACGGGUGAAAGCAGGGGAUCUUCGGACCUUGCGCGAUUGAAUGAGCCGAUGUCGGAUUAGCUAGUUGGCGGGGUAAAGGCCCACCAAGGCGACGAUCCGUAGCUGGUCUGAGAGGAUGAUCAGCCACACUGGAACUGAGACACGGUCCAGACUCCUACGGGAGGCAGCAGUGGGGAAUAUUGGACAAUGGGCGCAAGCCUGAUCCAGCCAUACCACGUGGGUGAAGAAGGCCUUCGGGUUGUAAAGCCCUUUUGUUGGGAAAGAAAAGCAGCAGGUUAAUACCACGCUGUUCUGACGGUACCCAAAGAAUAAGCACCGGCUAACUUCGUG